rnacentral:rRNA from 1 species
AUUGAACGCUGGCGGAAUGCUUUACACAUGCAAGUCGAACGGCAGCACGGGGUCAACCCUGGUGGCGAGUGGCGAACGGGUGAGUAAUACAUCGGAACGUGCCCAGUCGAGGGGGAUAACGUAGCGAAAGUUACGCUAAUAACGCAUACGCCCUGAGGGGGAAAGCGGGGGACCGUAAGGCCUCGCGCGAUUAGAGCGGCCGAUGUCUGAUUCGCUUGUUGGUGAGGUAAAAGCUCACCAAGGCGAUGAUCAGUAGCUGAUCGGAGAGGACGAUCAGCCACACUGGGACUGAGACACGGCCCAGACUCCUAGGGGGGGCAGCAGUGGGGAAAUUUGGACAAGGAGGUAAACCCGGUUCCAGCAAUGCCGGGUGACUGAAGAAGGCCUUCGGGUUGUAAAUCUCUUUUGUCAGGGAGGAAACGGCAGCUCUGACACAGUCGGCGAAUGACGGUACCUGAAGAAUAAGCACCGGCUAACUACGUGCCAGCCGCCGCUGUAA